rnacentral:rRNA from 1 species
UACAGAGGUCCCAAGCGUUGUUCGGAUUCAUUGGGCGUAAAGGGUGCGUAGGUGGCCCCGUAAGUCGGGUGUGAAAUUUCGGAGCUUAACUCCGAAACUGCAUUCGAUACUGCGGUGCUUGAGGACUGGAGAGGAGACUGGAAUUCCCGGUGUAGCGGUGAAAUGCGCAGAUAUCGGGAGGAACACCAAUUGCGAAGGCAGCUUGCUGGGACGGUACUGACGCUGAGGCGCGAAGGCCAGGGGAGCAAACGGG